GACGAACGCUGGCGGCGUGCCUAAUACAUGCAAGUCGAGCGGACGAAUCGAAAGCUUGCUUUUGAUUCGUUAGCGGCGGACGGGUGAGUAACACGUGGGCAACCUGCCCUGUAGACGGGGAUAACACCGAGAAAUCGGUGCUAAUACCGGAUAACACGAAAUGUCGCAUGACGUUUCGUUGAAAGACGGCGCAAGCUGUCGCUACAGGAUGGGCCCGCGGCGCAUUAGCUAGUUGGUGUGGUAACGGCUCACCAAGGCGACGAUGCGUAGCCGACCUGAGAGGGUGAUCGGCCACACUGGGACUGAGACACGGCCCAGACUCCUACGGGAGGCAGCAGUGGGGAAUCUUCCGCAAUGGACGAAAGUCUGACGGAGCAACGGCGCGUGAGCGAAGAAGGCCUUCGGGUCGUAAAGCUCUGUUGUUAGGGAAGAACAAGUAACGCAGUAACUGGCGUUACCGUGACGGUACCUAAAGAGAAAGCCACGGCUAACUACGU
rnacentral:rRNA from 1 species